rnacentral:snRNA from 1 species
GUCUUUGCGCAAUUGUUGCUAAUUGAAAACUUUACCCAAUACCCCGCCGCGACGACUUGAAAUAUAGUCGGUUCUGGCAAUUUUUGAGGGUUUUUACGGAGA